rnacentral:rRNA from 1 species
GCUAACGUCCGUCGUGAAGAGGGAAACAACCCAGACCGCCAGCUAAGGUCCCAAAGUCAUGGUUAAGUGGGAAACGAUGUGGGAAGGCCCAGACAGCCAGGAUGUUGGCUUAGAAGCAGCCAUCAUUUAAAGAAAGCGUAAUAGCUCACUGGUCGAGUCGGCCUGCGCGGAAGAUGUAACGGGGCUAAACCAUGCACCGAAGCUGCGGCAGCGACGCUUAUGCGUUGUUGGGUAGGGGAGCGUUCUGUAAGCCUGUGAAGGUGUGCUGUGAGGCAUGCUGGAGGUAUCAGAAGUGCGAAUGCUGACAUAAGUAACGAUAAAGCGGGUGAAAAGCCCGCUCGCCGGAAGACCAAGGGUUCCUGUCCAACGUUAAUCGGGGCAGGGUGAGUCGACCCCUAAGGCGAGGCCGAAAGGCGUAGUCGAUGGGAAACAGGUUAAUAUUCCUGUACUUGGUGUUACUGCGAAGGGGGGACGGAGAAGGCUAUGUUGGCCGGGCGACGGUUGUCCCGGUUUAAGCGUGUAGGCUGGUUUUCCAGGCAAAUCCGGAAAAUCAAGGCUGAGGCGUGAUGACGAGGCACUACGGUGCUGAAGCAACAAAUGCCCUGCUUCCAGGAAAAGCCUCUAAGCAUCAGGUAACAUCAAAUCGUACCCCAAACCGACACAGGUGGUCAGGUAGAGAAUACCAAGGCGCUUGAGAGAACUCGGGUGAAGGAACUAGGCAAAAUGGUGCCGUAACUUCGGGAGAAGGCACGCUGAUAUGUAGGUGAAGUCCCUCGCGGAUGGAGCUGAAAUCAGUCGAAGAUACCAGCUGGCUGCAACUGUUUAUUAAAAACACAGCACUGUGCAAACACGAAAGUGGACGUAUACGGUGUGACGCCUGCCCGGUGCCGGAAGGUUAAUUGAUGGGGUCAGCGCAAGCGAAGCUCUUGAUCGAAGCCCCGGUAAACGGCGGCCGUAACUAUAACGGUCCUAAGGUAGCGAAAUUCCUUGUCGGGUAAGUUCCGACCUGCACGAAUGGCGUAAUGAUGGCCAGGCUGUCUCCACCCGAGACUCAGUGAAAUUGAACUCGCUGUGAAGAUGCAGUGUACCCGCGGCAAGACGGAAAGACCCCGUGAACCUUUACUAUAGCUUGACACUGAACAUUGAGCCUUGAUGUGUAGGAUAGGUGGGAGGCUUAGAAGUGUGGACGCCAGUCUGCAUGGAGCCGACCUUGAAAUACCACCCUUUAAUGUUUGAUGUUCUAACGUUGACCCGUAAUCCGGGUUGCGGACAGUGUCUGGUGGGUAGUUUGACUGGGGCGGUCUCCUCCUAAAGAGUAACGGAGGAGCACGAAGGUUGGCUAAUCCUGGUCGGACAUCAGGAGGUUAGUGCAAUGGCAUAAGCCAGCUUGACUGCGAGCGUGACGGCGCGAGCAGGUGCGAAAGCAGGUCAUAGUGAUCCGGUGGUUCUGAAUGGAAGGGCCAUCGCUCAACGGAUAAAAGGUACUCCGGGGAUAACAGGCUGAUACCGCCCAAGAGUUCAUAUCGACGGCGGUGUUUGGCACCUCGAUGUCGGCUCAUCACAUCCUGGGGCUGAAGUAGGUCCCAAGGGUAUGGCUGUUCGCCAUUUAAAGUGGUACGCGAGCUGGGUUUAGAACGUCGUGAGACAGUUCGGUCCCUAUCUGCCGUGGGCGCUGGAGAACUGAGGGGGGCUGCUCCUAGUACGAGAGGACCGGAGUGGACGCAUCACUGGUGUUCGGGUUGUCAUGCCAAUGGCACUGCCCGGUAGCUAAAUGCGGAAGAGAUAAGUGCUGAAAGCAUCUAAGCACGAAACUUGCC